CCUACGGGGGGCAGCAGUCGAGAAUCAUUCACAAUGGGGGAAACCCUGAUGGUGCGACGCCGCGUGGGUGAAUGAAGGUCUUCGGAUUGUAAACCCCUGUCAUGUGGGAGAAAAUUAAAAAGAUAGUACCACAAGAGGAAGCGACGGCUAACUCUGUGCCAGCAGCCGCGGUAAUACAGAGGUCUCAAGCGUUGUUCGGAAUCACUGGGCGUAAGGCGUGCGUAGGCUGUUUCGUAAGUCGUGUGUGAAAGGCGCGGGCUCAACCCGCGGACGGCACAUGAUACUGCGAGACUAGAGUAAUGGAGGGGGAACCGGAAUUCUCGGUGUAGCAGUGAAAUGCGUAGAUAUCGAGAGGAACACUCGUGGCGAAGGCGGGUUCCUGGACAUUAACUGACGCUGAGGCACGAAGGCCAGGGGAGCGAAAGGGAUUAGAUACCCUAGUAGUC
rnacentral:rRNA from 1 species